UUCUGGGUCGGGGUUUCGUACGU
rnacentral:piRNA from 4 species